UGUGUUCACAGCGGACCUUGAUU
rnacentral:miRNA from 15 species